AUACCAUACUUUUUAUAUUGGAUAUGUUCUAUAUAUUUUAAGUAUUUUGCAACAACCGAACGAGCCAAUUUACCACUACAUUUGGCAUGUAGUGACGUUGAAUUGUGAAGAAAAUGUAGUUUGACAUCAUUAAAAUGUAGGUUGACAUUGUACUGUAGAUGAUGUUUGUACAAAACUUAAUUAGUUAUAAUUUAUAUCCAUUGAAUUUCACUGUUGUGUUAUUACCGUUUUGAUUACCUUUAGCAUGUGUGUGAAAAUUUCUCAAUCAUAGGAGGGUAUGUAUUCCUGAUGUGUGUACUACUUUUUUGUGAAUUUCGUACUACCAGUAAGUGCUAUCUGUGUUAGCUGAGCAGGCACUUGUAUUGGAAAGUCAAUCAUAUUUAUUGAUUUGGAAAUCUCUGACUCUUGCAAUUGAUUCUUUUGCAUAAAUGUAGUUUGCUGUCUCUUGUUCUAUAUAUUUUAAGUAUUUUGCAACAACCGAACGAGCCAAUUUACCACUACAUUUGGCAUGUAGUGACGUUGAAUUGUGAAGAAAAUGUAGUUUGACAUCAUUAAAAUGUAGGUUGACAUUGUACUGUAGAUGAUGCUUGUACAAAACUUAAUUAGUUAUAAUUUAUAUCCAUUGAAUUUCACUGUUGUGUUAUUACCGUUUUGAUUACCUUUAGCAUGUGUGUGAAAAUUUCUCAAUCAUAGGAGGGUAUGUAUUCCUGAUGUGUGUACUACUUUUUUGUGAAUUUCGUACUACCAGUAAGUGCUAUCUGUGUUAGCUGAGCAGGCACUUGUAUUGGAAAGUCAAUCAUAUUUAUUGAUUUGGAAAUCUCUGACUGUUGCAAUUGAUUCUUUUGCAUAAAUGUAG
rnacentral:lncRNA from 1 species